AUUCCUCUUUACAACGGACAGUCUAAAAGUCCCCAGCAGCACAAUUUACACGUUAAUAUAUCUCAAGUUUUUCUAUAUCG